UAACGUCAGACUUGGCAAACUGGAGGUAAACAGGCUCAGGGAGGAGGACACAGAGGGAAACAGCAGGAGAAAUCAGAUGCUGACAAAUUCAGCUUCCUCUUCUGCAUAAGGACCAAUCAUUCCAGCUGCCUGCCAGGCUCCUGACUCAAGUGAACAACAGCGCGGAGCACCAGGUGUAUGUCCACUGCUCAGGUGGGCCCGGGGGCCCGACAACACAGGUCCAGGUGGCAGCAGCGGGACGCCGUCUGCUGAUGUCUUCUGGUCCCCACCGCUUUCAAAGGAGGCUGGACAUCAUAGCCUCAGUGUUCCAAAUCAUCGUUUUACAUCCAUCUGUAAUCCAACACACCUCAAUCAAAUCUGUGCCAAACCUGAUGAAAUACUAAAGAACUGCUACCAGCAGCGGUGGUAGGAGUUCGUGCUGGAAUCAGUGGGUUGCCUGUUGGAGCUGCUCUCUCUCCCUGUCCAUCCUGCUGGUGCUGGUCAGAGGGCCCAGUGGUUCCACUGCAUGGCAGCCUCUCCUGUCAGACAUCAGAGUGUGAAUGUGUGUCUGAUUUAAUGUAGUGUGAAGCAUUUUGGGGCCCUGUGGACUUAGUAAGGUGUUAUAUAAGUGGAGACUAUUUAGCAUUUUACAAAAUGAAUGCUGACAUGUAUAGUUUCAGCAUCCUUUACAUGCCUGUUAAUGCAAUUACAGCAGCAAGUCUUUUGAUGUCUGUCGACUGGGUCAGCACUUCUGGAGACUUUUUACCUGAUGUUGUCACCUUCCUAAA